UGCAAGUCGAACGGCAGCACAGGAGAGCUUGCUCUCUGGGUGGCGAGUGGCGGACGGGUGAGGAAUAUAUCGGAAUCUACCCUUUCGUGGGGGAUAACGUAGGGAAACUUACGCUAAUACCGCAUACGAACUGAGGUUGAAAGCGGCGGACCGCAAGGCGUCGCGCGGAUGGAUGAGCCGAUAUCCGAUUAGCUAGUUGGCGGGGUAAAAGCCCACCAAGGCGACGAUCGGUAGCUGGUCUGAGAGGAUGAUCAGCCACACUGGAACUGAGACACGGUCCAGACUCCUACGGGAGGCAGCAGUGGGGAAUAUUGGACAAUGGGCGCAAGCCUGAUCCAGCCAUGCCGCGUGUGUGAAGAAGGCCUUCGGGUUGUAAAGCACUUUUGUUGGGAAAGAAAAGCGGUCGGUUAAUACCCGGUCGUUCUGACGGUACCCAAAGAAUAAGCACCGGCUAACUUCGUGCCAGCAGCCGCGGUAAUACGAAGGGUGCAAGCGUUACUCGGAAUUACUGGGCGUAAAGCGUGCGUAGGUGGUUUGUUAAGUCAGAUGUGAAAGCCCCGGGCUCAACCUGGGAAUUGCAUUUGAUACUGGCGGACUAGAGUGCGGUAGAGGAGAGUGGAAUUCCCGGUGUAGCAGUGAAAUGCGUAGAGAUCGGGAGGAACAUCAGUUGCGAAGGCGGCUCUCUGGACCAGCACUGACA
rnacentral:rRNA from 1 species